ACGCAGCGCUGACUCCGCAGUCAGCGUGCUUGGGCGAGAGUAGUACUAGGAUGGGUGACCUCCUGGGAAGUCCUCGUGUUGCAUUCCC
rnacentral:rRNA from 1 species